rnacentral:rRNA from 1 species
UACGAAGGGGGCAAGCGUUGUUCGGAAUUACUGGGCGUAAAGGGCUUGUAGGUGGCCAACUAAGUCAGACGUGAAAUCCCUCGGCUUAACCGGGGAACUGCGUCUGAUACUGGAUGGCUUGAGUGUGGGAGAGGCGCGUGGAAUUGCAGGUGUAGCGGUGAAAUGCGUAGAUAUCUGCAGGAACACCCGUGGCGAAAGCGGCGCGCUGGACCACUACUGACGCUGAGGAACGAAAGCUAGGGGAGCAAACAGG